AGCUCCAAUAGCGUAUAUUAAAGUUGUUGCAGUUAAAAAGCUCGUAGUUGAACCUUGGACAAAGUGCGCGUGGUCUACCGCAAGGUACGACUGCGGCGCUGCGUCUCUUUAGGGGGACUCGAUGCUUCGGUGUCGAGGUAACCCGUGUUACUGUGAAGAAAUUAGAGUGUUUAAAGCAGGCUAUCGCUUGAAUACAUCAGCAUGGAAUAACAAGUUGGACUUUGCUCCUACUUGUUGGUUUGAGGGGAAAAGUAAUGAUUAAUAGGGCCAGUUGGGGGCAUUAGUAUUCAGUAGUCAGAGGUGAAAUUCUUGGAUUUACUGAAGACUAACUAGUGCGAAAGCAUUUGCCAAGGAUGUUUUCAUCA
rnacentral:rRNA from 1 species